UACGUAGGGUGCGAGCGUUGUCCGGAAUUAUUGGGCGUAAAGAGCUCGUAGGCGGUUUGUUGCGUCGGCCGUGAAAACCUGGGGCUUAACUCUGGGCCUGCAGUCGAUACGGGCAGACUAGAGGUAUGCAGGGGAGAACGGAAUUCCUGGUGUAGCGGUGGAAUGCGCAGAUAUCAGGAGGAACACCGGUGGCGAAGGCGGUUCUCUGGGCAUUACCUGACGCUGAGGAGCGAAAGCAUGGGGAGCGAACAGG
rnacentral:rRNA from 1 species